rnacentral:antisense_RNA from 14 species
AAUAACCAAAUAGAAUACUUGGGCUAAGGGUCAAGUUAGUAAUUUUUCGUACAUCUCCCCCUCCCGGAGCCCAGGUAUCAUAUACGCCACCAAAAUAAAGAGCCUUGAAUACUAGAAGAAAAGCACCUAAACCUAACAAGAUUAAGUGAAUACCUAAAAUUGUGGUCAUUUUAUUUCUAUCUUUCCA